AUGGGAUUUGGAUUCAAUAAAAUUUUCAUUCUGAUUAUUUUGCAAGGUGUCCAUUGUGAUAUUCAGCUCUUGGAGUCUGGGGGAGACAUGAGACAGCCUGGAGGAUCCCUGAAACUCUCCUGCAAAGCUUCUGGAUUCAUCUUCAGCAGCUACUACAUGAGUUGGGUUCGCCAGGCUCCAGGGAAGGGGCUGGAGUGGGUCUCACAUAUUGAUACUGGUGGAAGUAGCACAUACUAUGCAGACUCUGUGAAAGGCUGA